UGAUUCCUACGGGAGGCAGCAGUAAGGGAUAUUGCACAAUGGGCGCAAGCUGAUGCAGCAACGCCGCGUGCAGGAAGAAGGUCUUCGGAUCGUAAACGGCUUUUGUGAGGGACGAGCAAGGACGGUACCUCACGAAUAAGUCUCGGCUAACUACGUGCCAGCAGCCGCGGUAACACGUAGGAGACGAGCGUUAUCCGGAUUUACUGGGCGUAAAGCGCGGGUCGGUGGGGUCUUAAGUCAUGCGUGAAAGCUCUCGGCUUAACCGGGAGAGGUCGUGUGAAACUGGGGCUCUGGAGGUAGGUAGAGGCAGAUGGAAUUCCGGGUGGAGUGGUGAAAUGCGUAGAGAUCCGGAGGAACACCAGUGGCGAAGGCGAUCUGUUAGGCCUGACCUGACACUCAGCCGCGACAGCAUGGGGAGCGAACGGGAUUAGAAACCCCGGUAGUCCAUGCCGUAAACGAUGCAUACUAGACGUUGGGGAGGCAUAGCCUCUUCAGUGUGAAGCCAACGCGAUAAGUAUGCCGCCUGGGGAGUACGAGCGCAAGCUUAAAACUCAA
rnacentral:rRNA from 1 species